AACAAAUCCACACCCUCUUCCUUAAGACAGCUCUUUAUUGGAAGACUGCUAUUGUGUCUCUACUGAGCCUUCUUUUCUUACGGCUAAUCCCUAGUUCUGUUAAUCCGCUAUUCAUAAAAUGGCAGGAUUAUCAUAAACCAAUUACAAACCUGGGUGGGCCAUAGAAUGUGGAACCAAACCAUCAAAUUAAAUGUGGAAAGAAUAAACAUGAUUAUUGGCACACUUUGCAAUCUAAACCCACCCCUGUGCAGUACCCCCAUGGUCACUUGAUCAAAACUUGAGCACUUGGAGCGGAGAGGAGGAGGAAUGUCGGGAUAAAGAAAUAUUGAUAAGUUGAGAGAUGGAAAAUUAUUAUGUUACUAUUGUGUGGUAGGCAGGAAUUGUACUGGUAUUGAAAGUAAUUUUCACAGACGAAGAGAUUUAUGUGUCUGAAUUUUGAUAGACUGUACACAUUUAUAUAUCGAAUAUGAAUUGUAUUUGUUGUGAGGUAAA